UGGGGAAUAUUGCACAAUGGGCGAAAGCCUGAUGCAGCAACGCCGCGUGAAUGAUGAAGGCCUUCGGGUUGUAAAGCUCUGUCUUUUGGGACGAUAAUGACGGUACCAAAGGAGGAAGCCACGGCUAACUACGUGCCAGCAGCCGCGGUAAUACGUAGGUGGCAAGCGUUGUCCGGAUUUACUGGGCGUAAAGGAUGCGUAGGCGGAUUUUUAAGUGAGAUGUGAAAUACCCGGGCUUAACUUGGGUGCUGCAUUUCAAACUGGGAAUCUAGAGUGCGGGAGAGGAGAAUGGAAUUCCUAGUGUAGCGGUGAAAUGCGUAGAGAUUAGGAAGAACACCAGUGGCGAAGGCGAUUCUCUGGACCGUAACUGACGCUGAGGCAUGAAAGCGUGGGUAGCAAACAGGAUUAGAUACCCUGGUAGUCCACGCCGUAAACGAUGAGUACUAGGUGUAGGAGGUAUCGACCCCUUCUGUGCCGCAGUUAACACAAUAAGUACUCCGCCUGGGAAGUACGAUCGCAAGAUU
rnacentral:rRNA from 1 species